UGCAGUCGAACGGUGAAGCCAAGCUUGCUUGGUGGAUCAGUGGCGAACGGGUGAGUAACACGUGAGCAACCUGCCCUGGACUCUGGGAUAAGCGCUGGAAACGGCGUCUAAUACUGGAUAUGAGACGUGAUCGCAUGGUCGUGUUUGGAAAGAUUUUUCGGUCUGGGAUGGGCUCGCGGCCUAUCAGCUUGUUGGUGAGGUAAUGGCUCACCAAGGCGUCGACGGGUAGCCGGCCUGAGAGGGUGACCGGCCACACUGGGACUGAGACACGGCCCAGACUCCUACGGGAGGCAGCAGUGGGGAAUAUUGCACAAUGGGCGGAAGCCUGAUGCAGCAACGCCGCGUGAGGGAUGACGGCCUUCGGGUUGUAAACCUCUUUUAGCAGGGAAGAAGCGAGAGUGACGGUACCUGCAGAAAAAGCGCCGGCUAACUACGUGCCAGCAGCCGCGGUAAUACGUAGGGCGCAAGCGUUAUCCGGAAUUAUUGGGCGUAAAGAGCUCGUAGGCGGUUUGUCGCGUCUGCUGUGAAAUCCCGAGGCUCAACCUCGGGCCUGCAGUGGGUACGGGCAGACUAGAGUGCGGUAGGGGAGAUUGGAAUUCCUGGUGUAGCGGUGGAAUGCGCAGAUAUCAGGAGGAACACCGAUGGCGAAGGCAGAUCUCUGGGCCGUAACUGACGCUGAGGAGCGAAAGGGUGGGGAGCAAACAGGCUUAGAUACCCUGGUAGUCCACCCCGUAAACGUUGGGAACUAGUUGUGGGGACCAUUCCACGGUUUCCGUGACGCAGCUAACGCAUUAAGUUCCCCGCCUGGGGAGUACGGCCGCAAGGCUAAAACUCAAAGGAAUUGACGGGGACCCGCACAAGCGGCGGAGCAUGCGGAUUAAUUCGAUGCAACGCGAAGAACCUUACCAAGGCUUGACAUAUACGAGAACGGGCCAGAAAUGGUCAACU
rnacentral:rRNA from 1 species